rnacentral:rRNA from 1 species
GACGGAGGGUGCUAGCGUUGUUCGGAAUCACUGGGCGUAAAGGGCGCGUAGGCGGCCUCAGGUGUCGGAUGUGAAAGCCCGGGGCUCAACCCCGGAGGUGCAUCCGAAACUCUGGGGCUGGAGGUCGGAAGAGGAGGGUGGAAUACCCAGUGUAGAGGUGAAAUUCGUAGAUAUUGGGUGGAACACCGGUGGCGAAAGCGGCUCUCUGGUCCGGACCUGACGCUGAGGCGCGAAAGCGUGGGUAGCAAACAGG